rnacentral:rRNA from 1 species
CACUCCUGCGGGAGGCAGCAGUGGGGAAUUUUGGACAAUGGGCGAAAGCCUGAUCCAGCAAUGCCGCGUGAGUGAAGAAGGCCUUCGGGUUGUAAAGCUCUUUUGUCAGGGAAGAAACGGUGAGAGCUAAUAUCUCUUGCUAAUGACGGUACCUGAAGAAUAAGCACCGGCUAACUACGUGCCAGCAGCCGCGGUAAUACGUAGGGUGCAAGCGUUAAUCGGAAUUACUGGGCGUAAAGCGUGCGCAGGCGGUUUUGUAAGUCUGAUGUGAAAUCCCCGGGCUCAACCUGGGAAUUGCAUUGGAGACUGCAAGGCUAGAAUCUGGCAGAGGGGGGUAGAAUUCCACGUGUAGCAGUGAAAUGCGUAGAUAUGUGGAGGAACACCGAUGGCGAAGGCAGCCCCCUGGGUCAAGAUUGACGCUCAUGCACGAAAGCGUGGGGAGCAAACAGGAUUAGAAACCCUAGUAGUCCCAUG